rnacentral:rRNA from 1 species
UGGAUAAGACAUGCAAGUCGAACGCUGGUCAGGCGGCAGCAAUGCCGCGUGGCCGGAGUGGCGCAAGGGUGUGUAACACGUGGGUAAUUUGCCGUGAAGUUGGGGAUAACUCGCUGAAAGGCGAGCUAAUACCGGAUGGGGCGGCUGGAAGGCAUCUUCCGGCCGUUAAAGCUGGGGACCGCAAGGCCUGGCGCUUCACGAUAAGCCCGCGGCCUAUCAGCUAGUUGGUGGGGUAAAGGCUCACCAAGGCUAAGACGGGUAGCUGGUCUGAGAGGACGACCAGCCACACUGGAACUGAGACACGGUCCAGACACCUACGGGUGGCAGCAGUCGAGAAUUUUUCUCAAUGGGCGAAAGCCUGAAGGAGCGACGCCGCGUGGGGGAUGAAGGGCUUCGGUCCGUAAACCCC